AGAUUAUUUGCCCAAACACAUCUAUAAAAUAAUAAUCAAUAAAAUUAAUAUAGUACACGGUUGUCUUUCGCUUUCUUCCUUUUACCCCCAUCCAAGAGACAUUGUGCGAUACCUUGUCAAUAAUGUGCAACUCAAAUCACAGGUAAUGAAGUUCAAGGACAAAUAUUUAAUUUUUCGAAGAAAAGACAAGAUGAGAAGGAGAGAUUGAGGGUAACAGUUGUGCAACGGUGCUUUAGCUUCAAUAGGAAAGUUCAAUUUGGGGAUUUUAGGGUUCAAUUAGGGUUUAAUUAGGAUUUAAUUUGGGGAAAGUUAGGGAAUGGGACUCGCUAGCUGAGUAAGUUAUUUCUAUUGAUGUGGCAUAAGCCGAGGGGAGAAUCAACCGAUGCUAUUUACUUCUUUUUCCUCCUUUAUAUGAUGAUAGGUACAACUUUUGAAAGUUUCAUUCCCCUCUACAGAUUGAGUCGAUUGCAGCCACUAAAUGAAAGCAAUGGCAUUUGCCCAGAUACCAAGAUUACCAAAGAUUAUGAUCCAAGUAAUUGCAACUGACAUGAGUGAAGGGCAGAUAAACCAUGUUGUCUACAAUCCUUGAGUUUCACUCCAUCAUCAAUCCUUAAUUGGACCUUAAAAUUCAAUUGAUGACAGUACAGACUAUCAGUAGCUUGACAUUGGUGUGAUCUGGAUAGACCCUACUCUUAAGGUCAAGCAUCUUCUGUGAAAGCCAGGAGGAUCCAAAGGCAAAAUAUGCUUUUCAUUGUCACAAAGACACUUCCAUUUCCUUCUGCGAGUGUCGGUGUGGGCAGCCAAGAACAUUAGACGUGCCGAAAGAGAUAUCAUUCAAGGGAAUGCUGGUGCUGUUGAGAUCAGGUUCAGCUAUCAAUACUGCUAAAGAUCAAGGUGUGGAUUUGUUGUUUGAAAAUGUUGUUGAGGGGUUUGAGAUUACUUGGGGUGGUUCUGGUGUCAUCAGAACUGCCUUCAAAACUUACACGAUUGCAGGAAAAGUCAAGCAGUAAGAAGUGUCUCUACAAGUUAUGAAGAUGGAACCUACUGUUAAUUUUAAUGUAAGCCAAGCAGGGCAUGUAAGGAGCCUAUUUGGAUUUUUGGUUUAUGUUUUCUUUUUUACUUCUAUGGCAUUUUCUUAUAUGUGAAAAGUAGUCACUUUGCUAAAGAAAGAAGCCAAGACACA